rnacentral:lncRNA from 1 species
CGACCAAAAGGGGAGUGGGGGGCUAGAAUUGUCGCCCCUUUUCUCUACGUGCAUGUGAAGAUGAGAGGAGGCGAAUUGUCGCCCCUUUUCUCUACGUGCAUGUGAAGAUGAGAGGAGGCGAAUUGUCGCCCCUUUUCUCUACGUGCAUGUGAAGAUGAGAGGAGGCGCCAGUUGGCACCUCCUCUUCUGCUUUGGGUCUCUUUCCUAAUAAGGAUUGAUCCUAUUAAAUUCAAAUUCGAUUUGAAUUAGUUUGGAUCAGAUUUUAUCAUGUUGGGGCGUUGGAGAUUGGUUUUUGUGCGACAAAUUAAAAGAAGGAAAUAGGGUGUGCGUAAGUUUUUCCUACGUGAGUCUUGUCGUAACUCCUCUUCUCAACGCCCUUCCUCCUAUCUUCCAUCUCCAUGCCCCAUCUCCUCCUUAGAUGAGAUCCAGAGAAAGUUUAGAGCGAGAGGAAGAGAAGGAAAAAGGUUUUUCUUCUCUUUUAGGCAUCCUUAAAGAGUUCCUUUC